UAUUGCACAAUGGGGGGAACCCUGAUGCAGCGACGCCGCGUGCGUGAAGAAGUAUUUCGGUAUGUAAAGCUCUAUCAGCAGGGAAGAAAAUGACGGUACCUGAAUAAGAAGCUCCGGCUAACUACGUGCCAGCAGCCGCGGUAAUACGUAGGGGGCAAGCGUUAUCCGGAUUUACUGGGUGUAGAGGGAGCGUAGACGGUUAUGCAAGUCUGGAGUGAAAGCCCGGGGCUCAACCCCGGGACUGCUUUGGAAACUGUAAGACUGGAGUGCAGGAGAGGCAGGCGGAAUUCCUAGUGUAGCGGUGAAAUGCGUAGAUAUUAGGAGGAACACCAGUGGCGAAGGCGGCCUGCUGGGCUUUAACUGACGCUGAGGCUCGAAAGCGUGGGGAGCAAACAGG
rnacentral:rRNA from 1 species